UGUGAUUAUUUUGGCAAGAAGGCCUCAGGUAACAGUAAUAAAGAGUCCCUCUCAUCUGUUUGUGGCUUGAGAUUACUGCACCGUCGGCAGAAGCGGAUCAUUGGUGGGAAAAAUUCUUUAAGGUAUGGCAACAGCACUAGGAGCUAUGCUGUUAGGGUUGGAGAUUAUCAUACUCUGGUACCAGAGGAGUUUGAGGAAGAAAUUGGAGUUCAACAGAUUGUGAUUCAUCGGGAGUAUCGACCCGACCGCAGUGAUUAUGACAUAGCCCUGGUUAGAUUACAAGGACCAGAAGAGC
rnacentral:sRNA from 1 species